UCUUCAGCCACCCUCUUGGCCACAGACAUUGCAGCCACCCGACGAGGCUGAGUACAUCCAAUCUUACCCUUCGUGGUAUAACCUGCCUCGGCAAGAUACUGUGUCACCUGGGUAGUCUUACCUGAGCCUGUCUCACCAAUAACUACCAGAACCUGAUUAUCAUGGACAGCUUGAAUUAGCUCUUUUUUCAAUUUAUAGAUUGGCAAGCUCUGCCUCUGCUCCUGAAUGGAUAACUUUGAUCUUUGCCCAAAUGUUAAAGCUUUUCCAAAUGCAUCCUUCUUCCACUCAGGCAUGUCAUAAGCCGAUAAACCAACUCCUCUAAGCUCCUGAGCGAGAUGCCUCUCACCAGUCUCAGGCAUUGGGUCUUCCCAAGGACGAUUAAGAUCCUUCGGUAUUGAAUCAAGCAUCGUCCUCUGCUGUUGUUCCCUUACUUCCCUC
rnacentral:misc_RNA from 1 species